UAAUUCCAUCAAGAAAUAAUUUUAAUAUAUAUUGGAAUAUUUAAUGUUAUAUGAUUUUGUAUCUAGUAAAGAUUUGUAAUUUUAAUUUUGAUUUGUAUAUUGUAAAAAAUAUGAAAGAAUAGAGCAGUAUUAAAGUAUUAUUGAUAAGUAUUAUCAAGAUAAUACUAAAUAUGUACAAAGUUCAAAUUAUUCGAAUACGCAUUAAUUAUCGAAAUAAUUUAACACUUACACUGCCUGGUUUUUCUACACAAGGAUGUAAUUCUACCAUAUGUCAUCAUUGGUUCUAUUAUCCGUUGCACGGAUUGUGAUAUACAUUAAAAACGUUUCACGCUAUACGACUAACAUUUUUUAAAAAUAAUGUCCCAUUCGCCUGCACAUACUUAUAAUUUUAAAUACAACGAGACAAAAAAUCCGCAUAUUUUCAAAAUAUCAACAAUUUCGGUUUCAUGCCUUCUAAAAUAAAAUUAUCAUACAAGAGAGUGACUUAUUUUGCGCAAUGAACAAUUAAAAUUACAUUUUACAUAACAUAUCGAUGAAAUAAGGUUUUUCUGUCGGUAGACUUUAUAGCGUAUAUAAUGAUGAAAGUUCAUUAAUAGACACAUAAAUUAAUAUGUACGAAAGACAAGUUGAAAUUAUGUGAUACUCGUGGCAGUCGAUUUAUUUUCCAUCAGUGUGUACCGAUUCAAGAAAGAAGGAAAGCGGAAAAGGAGAAAUAAAAAAAGCAUUUAUUACGAUAUAGAUCAUCCUCUGGGAAGACAGUGUGACAUUCGAGGAUAGUUCUUAUUUCCGUGCACGUUUAUGAGAUUAUUAAAAAAAAGAGAACCAUAUGUAUGCUUCAGAUUCUGUUUUGAUUUUUUGAAGACUUACCGUCGUCGAAAUUGGUAGUAAAAUCUGGAUGUUAUAACGUGAUUUCCAUCUGAAACAAAUUAAUCUGAACAAAGGCGCAAAAUUAUCGAAUAGUAUACAAUAACGUAAAGAUUCACUGUAACGAGAGCUCUCUGCUGCGAACAUAUUUAAUCUAUUCUCCCCAUAUAAUAUGACAAGAAGAGUGUUACGUUGCGAAGCAUUUGCAGGGGAUGCAUACGGAGUGAGACGUGUGAUUUUCUGUUAAUGGCUCGCAACAUUGAAAUAUUUAAGCGACCAAGAGAUAAAUAAGACGAAAAUUUAUACUGGAAUAUAUAUACUCCUGGAAGAGCAAAAGGAUCCCGUCAGCUGUAUCGAUUAAACAAACAAGAACGUGAUAAGUGGCGGGUCGAAGGAAAAACUCGCGCGGAAGUGGCGAGUACGAAAUAAACUGUGUUACGUCCAAAGGUCCACACUUAUUCUAGUCUGGCCGAUGACUUCGUACCACUCACCCGAGAGAUGUACGCGCCGUAUAUAUUGUGUAAAACGCGUUUGCGUACAUGUUACUUUGUAUCCAUGUUACAUACCCGCCGACAAAUGCGUCCGAUGACAGAAACCCAUGUACUUACGGAGCUGUUGCGUGCUCGAGCCGUAUUUAUUGUAAUACAUGUGCUCUCGUACGAUACAUAAAGCGAAUGGAAAAAAACUAAAGAGAGGGAGAGAACCGCUUCUGUCGGACAGUCUUGAAAAGUGAUACGCUUAAAAAGAUAGAGAUCAGAAUCUCUAGAUUAUACUCUGUGAAUUUCCUCUCUCUUUCUCUCUCUCCCUCUCAUUAUCUCUGUAUCUUCCCACUAUCGAGAACGCACCGAGGGUACCGUUCCUUUUUUGUGAGCUAGCCGCGAUUGAUAAAACCGUCGAUAUCAGCGGAGAGUGAGUGAUCCGAUGAAUGAUUGAUGAUAUCCGCAUGUGUAUAUGAUUCGCGUGCGUGGAAAGAGAACGAGUCGUUCAAGAAGAGACGUUACUUCAGAGCGCUUUUUCUUUUCUUCGACGAGGCUGAUUCGUAGUUUCGCGUAAGUUGUAAAACUACCAUAUUAUUGUACAUAAAACGCUGAAUCGUGUACGCAAUCGAAUAGCGAGCGCCACGUAUAAUUGUAAUAUCCGAUCGCCGAGGAGAAGUCCUCCGCGACAGAGGGAGAGAGUGUCUCCGAUAUUUAUAUCACUGUCCUGCCACACCGGGGAAUCCGCGUUGCUGGCGUUAAUUAUAAUAACAAAUAUCCUGUUGCGCAAGACGUUUAGCCCGUAGUUUUUUAGCCGAUUUUUCAAAGCGCGCGCGCGGGCGAAGUCAUACGAUUUUUAUUAAUAUAACACGACUGACUGCUGGUUAAGUAUGGUUGUGAGUAAAAGAGAUCCUCGUCUCCUCGGACAUUGUAAACGGUACACAGACACACACGCGAACCUUUCCGUUUCUCCCUAGGUUGUUACCUUGCACGGAGAGAGGAGCGAUUAGGAAUGGAAUUAUGGCUUGUUGUAAUGUAAAAUGACCAUCUUCGCUCGAGAUAUCUUUUUUUUUUCCUUUUUUUGUAUAUUUGUAAAUGGUACGAAUAGAUUAUGUGGACCAGGA